CGGUGUGUAGCGCAGCCUGGUAGCGCACUUGCUUCGGGAGCAAGGGGUCGGAGGUUCAAAUCCUCUCACACCGA
rnacentral:tRNA from 1 species